rnacentral:rRNA from 1 species
CUUGGUGGCUAUAGCGAGGGUGAACCACCUCUUCCCAUUCGAACAGAGAAGUUAAGCCCCUCCGCGCCGAUGGUACUUGGUUUUUCCUGGGAGAGUAGGUCGUCGCCAGCA